rnacentral:rRNA from 1 species
UGGGGAAUUUUGGACAAUGGGCGCAAGCCUGAUCCAGCCAUGCCGCGUGCGGGAAGAAGGCCUUCGGGUUGUAAACCGCUUUUGCCAGGGAAGAAAUCUUCUGAGUUAAUACCUCGGGAGGAUGACGGUACCUGAAGAAUAAGCACCGGCUAACUACGUGCCAGCAGCCGCGGUAAUACGUAGGGUGCAAGCGUUAAUCGGAAUUACUGGGCGUAAAGCGUGCGCAGGCGGUUUUGUAAGACAGAGGUGAAAUCCCCGGGCUCAACCUGGGAACUGCCUUUGUGACUGCAAGGCUUGAGUGCGGCAGAGGGGGAUGGAAUUCCGCGUGUAGCAGUGAAAUGCGUAGAUAUGCGGAGGAACACCGAUGGCGAAGGCAAUCCCCUGGGCCUGCACUGACGCUCAUGCACGAAAGCGUGGGGAGCAAACAGGAUUAGAUACCCUGGUAGUCCACGCCCUAAACGAUGUCAACUGGUUGUUGGGAAGGUUCCUUCUCAGUAACGUAGCUAACGCGUGAAGUUGACCGCCUGGGGGAGUACGGCCGCAAGGUUGAAACUU